ensembl:misc_RNA Metazoa_SRP Metazoan signal recognition particle RNA
GCUGGGCAUGGUGGUGCAUGCCUGUAAUCCCACCUACUGGGGAGGCUGAGGCAGGAGAAUUGCUUGAACCCAGGAGGCGGAGGUUGCAGUGAGCAGAGAUUGUGCCACUGCACUCCAGCCUGGGCGACAGAGCAAGACUCUGUCUCAA